rnacentral:rRNA from 1 species
CGGUUAAGUUAGAAAGGGCGCACGGUGGAUGCCUUGGCACUAGGAGCCGAUGAAGGACGGGACGAACACCGAUAUGCUUCGGGGAGCUGUAAGCAAGCUUUGAUCCGGAGAUUUCCGAAUGGGGAAACCCACCACUCGUAAUGGAGUGGUAUCCAUAUCUGAAUACAUAGGAUAUGAGAAGGCAGACCCGGGGAACUGAAACAUCUAAGUACCCGGAGGAAGAGAAAGCAAAUGCGAUUCCCUGAGUAGCGGCGAGCGAAACGGGACCAGCCCAAACCAAGAGGCUUGCCUCUUGGGGUUGUAGGACACUCUGUACGGAGUUACAAAGGAACGAGGUAGAUGAAGAGGUCUGGAAAGGCCCGCCAUAGGAGGUAACAGCCCUGUAGUCAAAACUUCGUUCUCUCCUGAGUGGAUCCUGAGUACGGCGGAACACGUGAAAUUCCGUCGGAAUCCGGGAGGACCAUCUCCCAAGGCUAAAUACUCCCUAGUGACCGAUAGUGAACCAGUACCGUGAGGGAAAGGUGAAAAGCACCCCGGAAGGGGAGUGAAAGAGAUCCUGAAACCGUGUGCCUACAAGUAGUCAGAGCCCGUUAACGGGUGAUGGCGUGCCUUUUGUAGAAUGAACCGGCGAGUUACGAUCCCGUGCAAGGUUAAGCAGAAGAUGCGGAGCCGCAGCGAAAGCGAGUCUGAAUAGGGCGAAUUGAGUACGUGGUCGUAGACCCGAAACCAGGUGAUCUACCCAUGUCCAGGGUGAAGUUCAGGUAACACUGAAUGGAGGCCCGAACCCACGCACGUUGAAAAGUGCGGGGAUGAGGUGUGGGUAGGGGUGAAAUGCCAAUCGAACCUGGAGAUAGCUGGUUCUCUCCGAAAUAGCUUUAGGGCUAGCCUCAAGGUAAGAGUCUCGGAGGUAGAGCACUGAUUGGACUAGGGGCCCCUACCGGGUUACCGAAUUCAGUCAAACUCCGAAUGCCGAUGACUUAUCCUUGGGAGUCAGACUGCGAGUGAUAAGAUCCGUAGUCGAAAGGGAAACAGCCCAGACCGCCAGCUAAGGUCCCAAAGUAUACGUUAAGUGGAAAAGGAUGUGGAGUUGCUUAGACAACCAGGAUGUUGGCUUAGAAGCAGCCACCAUUUAAAGAGUGCGUAAUAGCUCACUGGUCGAGUGACUCUGCGCCGAAAAUGUACCGGGGCUAAACGUAUCACCGAAGCUGCGGACUGUUCUUCGAACAGUGGUAGGAGAGCGUUCUAAGGGCUGUGAAGCAAGACCGGAAGGACUUGUGGAGCGCUUAGAAGUGAGAAUGCCGGUAUGAGUAGCGAAAGAGGGGUGAGAAUCCCCUCCACCGAAUGCCUAAGGUUUCCUGAGGAAGGCUCGUCCGCUCAGGGUUAGUCGGGACCUAAGCCGAGGCCGAAAGGCGUAGGCGAUGGAUAACAGGUUGAUAUUCCUGUACCACCUCCUCACCAUUUGAGCAAUGGGGGACGCAGGAGGAUAGGGUAAGCGCGGUAUUGGAUAUCCGCGUCCAAGCAGUUAGGCUGGGAAAUAGGCAAAUCCGUUUCCCGUGAAGGCUGAGCUGUGAUGGCGAGCGAAUUAUAGUAGCGAAGUUCCUGAUUCCACACUGCCAAGAAAAGCCUCUAGCGAGGUGAGAGGUGCCCGUACCGCAAACCGACACAGGUAGGCGAGGAGAGAAUCCUAAGGUGAUCGAGAGAACUCUCGUUAAGGAACUCGGCAAAAUGACCCCGUAACUUCGGGAGAAGGGUGCUCUGUUAGGGUGCAAGCCCGAGAGAGCCGCAGUGAAUAGGCCCAGGCGACUGUUUAGCAAAAACACAGGUCUCUGCGAAGCCGUAAGGCGAAGUAUAGGGGCUGACGCCUGCCCGGUGCUGGAAGGUUAAGAGGAGCGCUUAGCGUAAGCGAAGGUGCGAAUUGAAGCCCCAGUAAACGGCGGCCGUAACUAUAACGGUCCUAAGGUAGCGAAAUUCCUUGUCGGGUAAGUUCCGACCCGCACGAAAGGCGCAACGAUCUGGGCACUGUCUCAACGAGAGACUCGGUGAAAUUAUAGUACCUGUGAAGAUGCAGGUUACCCGCGACAGGACGGAAAGACCCCGUGGAGCUUUACUGCAGCCUGAUAUUGAAUGUUGGUACAGCUUGUACAGGAUAGGUAGGAGCCUUGGAAACCGGAGCGCCAGCUUCGGUGGAGGCAUCGGUGGGAUACUACCCUGGCUGUAUUGACCUUCUAACCCGCCGCCCUUAUCGGGCGGGGAGACAGUGUCAGGUGGGCAGUUUGACUGGGGCGGUCGCCUCCUAAAAGGUAACGGAGGCGCCCAAAGGUUCCCUCAGAAUGGUUGGAAAUCAUUCGCAGAGUGUAAAGGCACAAGGGAGCUUGACUGCGAGACCUACAAGUCGAGCAGGGACGAAAGUCGGGCUUAGUGAUCCGGUGGUUCCGCAUGGAAGGGCCAUCGCUCAACGGAUAAAAGCUACCCCGGGGAUAACAGGCUUAUCUCCCCCAAGAGUCCACAUCGACGGGGAGGUUUGGCACCUCGAUGUCGGCUCAUCGCAUCCUGGGGCUGUAGUCGGUCCCAAGGGUUGGGCUGUUCGCCCAUUAAAGCGGUACGCGAGCUGGGUUCAGAACGUCGUGAGACAGUUCGGUCCCUAUCCGUCGCGGGCGCAGGAAAUUUGAGAGGAGCUGUCCUUAGUACGAGAGGACCGGGAUGGACGCACCGCUGGUGUACCAGUUGUUCUGCCAAGGGCAUCGCUGGGUAGCUAUGUGCGGACGGGAUAAGUGCUGAAAGCAUCUAAGCAUGAAGCCCCCCUCAAGAUGAGAUUUCCCAUUCCGCAAGGAAGUAAGAUCCCUGAAAGAUGAUCAGGUUGAUAGGUCUGAGGUGGAAGUGUGGCGACACAUGGAGCUGACAGAUACUAAUCGAUCGAGGACUUAACCAAUUU